rnacentral:rRNA from 1 species
GACGAACGCUGGCGGCGUGCCUAACACAUGCAAGUCGAGGGUAGCAAUACACUGGCGCACGGGUGAGUAACGCGUAGGUAAUCUGCCCUUAUCCCAGACAUAACAUCGAGAAAUUGGUGCUAAAAAUCUGAUGAGGCCUGAGGGUCAAAGUAUUCGUACGGAUAAGGAUGAGCCUGCGUCUGAUUAGCUAGUUGGUAAGGUAAUGGCUUACCGAGGCAACGAUCAGUAGCUGGUUUGAGAGGACGGAUCAGCCACACUGGAACUGAGACACGGUCCAGACCUCCUACGGGAGGCAGCAGUGAGGAAUUUUGCGCAAUGGGCGAAAGCCUGACGCAGCAACGCCGCGUGACUGAUUAAGCUCUGAGGAGUGUAAAAGUCUGUCGUAGAGGAAGAAACUAUCCGAAUAAGAAUAUUGUCGGAUACUGACGGUACUCUAUGAGAAGCUCCGGCUAACUCCGUGCCAGCAGCCGCGGUAAA